rnacentral:rRNA from 1 species
AUUGAACGCUGGCGGCAGGCCUAACACAUGCAAGUCGAACGAGUGGCGGACGAGUGAGUAAUGUCUGGGAAACUGCCUGAUGGAGGGGGAUAACUACUGGAAACGGUAGCUAAUACCGCAUACCAUCGGAUGUGCCCAGAUGGGAUUAGCUAGGAGGUGGGGUAAAGGCCCACCUAGGCGACUAUCCCUAACUGGUCUGAGAGGAUGACCAGCCAAAAUGGAACGGAGACACGGUCCAGACUCCUACGGGAGGCAGCAGGGGGGAAUAUUGCACAAUGGGCGCAAGCCGGAUGCAGCCAUGCCGCGUGUAUGAAGAAGGCCUUCGGGUUGUAAAGUACUUUAAGCGGGGAGGCGUUACCCGCAGAAGAAGCACCGGCUAACUCCGUGCCAGCAGCCGCGGUAAUUC